rnacentral:rRNA from 1 species
CCUACGGGCGGCUGCAGUGGGGAAUAUUGCACAAUGGGCGCAAGCCUGAUGCAGCCAUGCCGCGUGUGUGAAGAAGGCCUUCGGGUUGUAAAGCACUUUCAGCGGGGAGGAAGGCGGUGAGGUUAAUAACCUCAUCGAUUGACGUUACCCGCAGAAGAAGCACCGGCUAACUCCGUGCCAGCAGCCGCGGUAAUACGGAGGGUGCAAGCGUUAAUCGGGAUUACUGGGCGUAAAGCGCACGCAGGCGGUCUGUCAAGUCGGAUGUGAAAUCCCCGGGCUCAACCUGGGAACUGCAUUCGAAACUGGCAGGCUAGAGUCGUGUAGAGGGGGGUAGAAUUCCAGGUGUAGCGGUGAAAUGCGUAGAGAUCUGGAGGAAUACCGGUGGCGAAGGCGGCCCCCUGGACAAAGACUGACGCUCAGGUGCGAAAGCGUGGGGAGCGAACAGGAUUAGAUACCCGUGUAGUC